rnacentral:rRNA from 1 species
CCUACGGGGGGCAGCAGUGGGGAAUAUUGGACAAUGGGCGAAAGCCUGAUCCAGCCAUGCCGCGUGUGUGAAGAAGGCCUUCGGGUUGUAAAGCACUUUCAGUGGGGAAGAAAGCCUUGGGGCUAAUACCCUCGAGGAAGGACAUCACCCACAGAAGAAGCACCGGCUAACUCCGUGCCAGCAGCCGCGGUAAUACAGGAGGGUGCGAGCGUUAAUCGGAAUUACUGGGCGUAAAGCGCGCGUAGGCGGUCUGAUAAGCCGGUUGUGAAAGCCCCGGGCUCAACCUGGGAACGGCAUCCGGAACUGUCAGGCUAGAGUGCAGGAGAGGAAGGUAGAAUUCCCGGUGUAGCGGUGAAAUGCGUAGAGAUCGGGAGGAAUACCAGUGGCGAAGGCGGCCUUCUGGACUGACACUGACGCUGAGGUGCGAAAGCGUGGGUAGCAAACAGGAUUAGAUACCCGAGUAGUC